GAAUCCCGUCUUUGACACGGACUACCUGUACAUUAUGGUGUGCUCUCGAAGAGUCGAGUUGUUUGGGAAUGCAGCUCAAAAUGGGUGGUAAAUGCCAUCUAAAGCUAAAUAUUGGCGAGAGACCGAUAGCGAACAAGUACCGUGAGGGAAAGAUGAAAAGCACUUUGGAAAGAGAGUGAAACAGUACGUGAAAUUGUUGAAAGGGAAACGCUUGAAGUCAGUCGCGCCGUUCGGGAUUCAGCCUUGCUUCUGCUCGGUUUACUUCCCGUUGGGUGGGUCAACAUCAGUUUCGGACGGAGGAGAAAGGCUUGGGGAAGGUAGCAGCAUUCGUGCUGUGUUAUAGCCCCUUGUUGUAUACUUCGAUUGGGACUGAGGACUGCAGCACGCCUAUGGCCGGGGUUUACCCACGUACGUGCUUAGGAUGUUGGCAUAAUGGCUUUAAGCGACCCGUCUUGAAACACGGACCAAGGAGUCUAACAUGUGCGCGAGUGUUUGGGUGUUAAACUCGGACGCGAAAUGAAAGUGAAAGGUUGGGAACACUUAUGUGUGCACCAACGCCCGGAGCUGACCUUCUGUGACGCAUCUGCGGUAGAGCGUAUAUGUUGGGACCCGAAAGAUGGUGAACUAUGCCUGAAUAGGGUGAAGCCAGAGGAAACUCUGGUGGAGGCUCGUAGCGAUUCUGACGUGCAAAUCGAUCGUCAAAUUUGGGUAUAGGGGCGAAAGACUAAUCGAACCAUCUAGUAGCUGGUUCCUGCC
rnacentral:rRNA from 1 species